AGAAUCUAGUGUUUAUCAUCAUAAAAAGUUUUAAACUUGUAUAACGAACAAAGGACUUUAGUGUUAUAUUAAAUCUAAUA
rnacentral:tRNA from 1 species